rnacentral:lncRNA from 1 species
GGGAGUUUACACUGUUUUUGUGAUGAACUUGUGAUUUUGAAAGCAUCGUUGAAUUUCAUAAACUGCAUAUCUUUAUGACGCAUCUCUGUUGUUUUUCAAAACUGCAUAAAUAUCUGAAGCAUUCCUUUUUUGUUAAUGCACAAAGGAGGAGAGAUAUUCAUGAGUGUAUGAGAGCAAGUCUAUAUGGGGAGAAUUGUUGCAUCAUA